GUGGGGAGACCUGCUGCCUCGGGAGGGCAACGAUGAAAGCUCCGCGGCUGUGAAGCUAGCAGUACCUCUACGCUUCUGCGGUGUCCAGUUCAGCAACCUCUACGUGGGCAUCAAUGGCAUCAUCUCCACCCAGGACUUACCCAGGGAGACUUAAUAUGUCGUUGAUGAUUUUCCUACUGACUUCCCAGCCAUCGCCCCAUUCCUGGCUGACAACCACUCGAGUCACAGCAGUGGCCGGAUCCUGUGUGGAGGACACCUCCUGGGCUGUGCUGAGUCUGGCUGCUUGCUACCUGUGCACAGGCUUCCCGCUGACCCGGUUCAGCUUCUCCCCUACCCACUUCUUCCUGGCCACCUGGGAGCAAGUGGGCCCCUAGGAGGAGGACAGGCUUAGGGCUGCAUGGUCUGGAGAGCUGAACACUUUCCAGGCCGUUCUGGCAUCCGAUGAAUGUGAUUCCGAUGCCCUCUUUCUCUAUCCUGCCAAUGGUCUUCAGUUUUUGGAACUCGCCCCAAACAAUCCUACAGUGUCCAGCUGCAGCUUCCUGCUAAGGUGGGCUUCUGCCAAGGGGAAGCAGAUGACCUGAAGAGAAAAGCCCUGUAUUUCAGCCUGACUAACAAUGAGCACUCGGUGAAGAAUCUCUACCAGUGAGUAAUGUGGAGUGUGUGACUGUGCUAUGCACUGGAAGGACAUUUAGGAGGGACACUAUCUCUAGUGGCCAGAAACCAUUUGAUAAUAACCUUUGGUGGCUUCUAAGAAAGGCGCUGGAUCAAAACCAAGAGCUAAGCUGGACCUCUGGAGCUUCAGGCUCUCCAAGAUGUAAAAGAUUCUUUCUUUUUCCUGCACUAUCUGUCAGGCAUAGAAACCAGAACCAGCAGUGAUUAUAUGUUUUUGCAGAGCUACUGGGGCUUGCUGUGAAAAACAUUGUUCUUGGGGCUACACAAAAAUAUCCAGUCAUAA